AGCAGCCGCGGUAAAUUCCAGCUCCAAUAGCGUAUAUUAAAGUUGUUGCAGUUAAAAAGCUCGUAGUUGAAUUUCGAGACCGGCUUACUGGUCGUGCUAUUGUACGUACUGGUAUAAUCGGUUUCUCCUUUCUGACGAACUAUAAUGCCAUUAAUUUGGUGUUUUAGGGAAUCAGGACUGUUACUUUGAGAAAAUUAGAGUGUUUAAAGCAGGCUCACGCUUGAAUACAUUAGCAUGGAAUAACGGAAUAGGACGUUUGAUUCUAUUUUGUUGGUUUCUAGGAUCGACGUACUGAUUAAUAGGGAUAGUUGGGGGCAUUAGUAUUCAAUUGUCAGAGGUGAAAUUCUUGGAUUUAUUGAAGACUAACUACUGCGAAAGCAUUUGCCAAGGAUGUUUUCAU
rnacentral:rRNA from 1 species